rnacentral:lncRNA from 1 species
UGAGUUGAGAAUCAAGUUAAGAUGCCUUUAUAGGCAAGUAUUUAGGGCAUAUUUAGGGAUUUUAUUUUUCUCUUUUAGUCAUUUUCUAAUUUCUGUUUUUGCUACUUAGUCCUUUAUUUUUUUUCUUGUUCCCCAAGUUCUACUACCCAAAUCUUGAAAUUCAAAACCAAACCCCACCCUAGAAGUUUCUCUUUCUGUUAUACUAA